rnacentral:rRNA from 1 species
UACGUAGGGUGCAAGCGUUAAUCGGAAUUACUGGGCGUAAAGCGUGCGCAGGCGGUUGGGCAAGACAGAUGUGAAAUCCCCGAGCUUAACUUGGGAACUGCAUUUGAAACUGGCAAGCUAGAGUCUUGUAGAGGGGGGUAGAAUUCCAGGUGUAGCGGUGAAAUGCGUAGAGAUCUGGAGGAAUACCGGUGGCGAAGGCGGCCCCCUGGACAAAGACUGACGCUCAGGUGCGAAAGCGUGGGGAGCAAACAGG